rnacentral:lncRNA from 1 species
GUAAGAGAGAACAAUUAUAAGUAAAAGAUUUUGAAUUCGAGUCCUCCCACUUAAAAAAAAACUUUUAAAAAAUUACAGUACAAGAAUGACAAAUACUUCUGACUUUAGGUCAUCAACUUGUAUGGAAAUUCAUUGCUAAGGAAACUUCAAAUCAAAAGAAAUAGAGCAAAAUGUCAAUUUAGUCCCUUACAUUUUCAGAGAAAAUUUUUUUAAUCCCCC